AAUCAACAUCCCACCUGGUGGCAGCCACCACACUUCACCUCAGUUGCAGAGAAGGUGAAGGGAUAUCGCUGUUGGAUGAGCCUGGGAGACACGACGGAUGACCGGCUCUCUCCGUGGAGGACAGGAUCAAUGGAGAGCUGAAAGGACAUACAGAACAGAGUGGAAAGGACUGGAAAGAAUAGAGGGACUCGUAAGGUCCUUGUGUUCUCAGCCUCAAGGCCCAUCGAACAGCCUGCUUGGCCAAUAUUACCUCUGCGGUUGGUGAUGGACCCCCUUCGACCUUCUCCCACAGAACUGAGGACCACUGCGGGGUCGACCAUCGCUCUGACACCUCAAGCUCCAGCGCUGGAGGACUUUAUAGUCACAAGGCUGCAGUGAUGUUCAGCAGGACGUGAAAACGACCAGCCAUCUACCAGCAGACGCGCCAGGCCGCGGGGUAGAGUCUGAGCUGCAGUGGCCUCACUGAGCGGUGUCCAUAUGAUCAUUUAGUGUCUGGGCGGAAACACCGGGAAGGAGCAGGUGCGAAGGGAGACUAACCAACUCGGGUCCAACACACCCCCUCAGGAUGUCCCAAGCUGACCUUCACAAGAUGGCCGAUCUCCUCAGACAUAUGUUGGGUCGUAACUGUGAUGAUAACCAGUUGGCCGGAAAUUCUUAGUAGUUAGUCGAAAAAAGUGGUUGGGAGGCUGGCUGAUCGAAUACUGAUUUUAAAUAAAGCUCAACAAAAUAAAUAUGUACAUGUUUCUCUUUCGAAAAGCCUAGUUAUAGGAACCAUGUUGUCUAGUGGCUAUGGUGUUCGACGUAUGGAUGUUUGCAUAUGAGGUGGUCGCCAAAAACGUUUAGUGGUACACCUAAG